rnacentral:piRNA from 1 species
UCAGCUGUCAAAUCUCAGGGUGCUGGGAGU